UACGGAGGGUGCAAGCGUUGUUCGGAAUUAUUGGGCGUAAAGGGCGUGUAGGCGGCCUCAUAAGUCUGAUGUGAAAGCCCCGGGCUCAACCCGGGAAGUGCAUUGGAAACUGUGAGACUUGAGUACGGGAGAGGGCAGUGGAAUUCCCAGUGUAGGAGUGAAAUCCGUAGAUAUUGGGAGGAACACCGGUGGCGAAGGCGGCUGCCUGGACCGAUACUGGACGCUGAGGAGCGAAAGCGUGGGGAGGCAAACAGG
rnacentral:rRNA from 1 species